GGUUUGUGGCUCAGCGGUAGAGCGCUUGCCUAGCACGUGCAAGGCCCUGGGUUCAAUCCUCAGCACCA
rnacentral:tRNA from 1 species